GCUCACUUCAGCCAUACAUGUACUAAAAUUGGAACAAUACAAAGAAGAUUAUCCUGAUUUUUGUACAAAGAUGACAUUUGUAAUGCAUUCCAUGUUACAUAUUUUU